rnacentral:ncRNA from 1 species
UGGAGGCCCGAACCAGUUUCCGUUGAAAAGGGCUUGGAUGAGUUGUGGGUAGGAGUGAAAGGCCAAUCAAACUGGGAGAUAGCUCGUACUCCCCGAAAUGUCUUUAGGGACAGCCUCGGACGGUCGCUGCGUGAGGUAGAGCUACUGAUAGGAUGCGGGGGCUUCAUCGCCUGCCAAAUCCUGACAAACUCCGAAUGCGCGCAGAUGCAGUCCGGGAGUGAGUCGUCGGGUGCUAAUAUCCGUCGGCGAAAGGGUAAGAGCCCAGACCAACAGCCAAGGCCCCCAAACACGGUUUAAGUUGAGACAGAACGAGGUGACAUCGCAGUGACAGCUAGGAUGUUAGCUUGGAAGCAGCUAUUCAUUCAAAGAGUGCGUAACAGCUCACUAGUCGAGCGGAGUUGCGUGGAUGAUGAGCGGGCAUCAAGACCGUUGCCGAAGCUAUGGGAUGAGAAAUCAUCGGUAGGGGAGCAUUCCAGUCAGCCUCGAAGGUGUCCUGUGAGGGAUGCUGGAGCGGCUGGAAACGAAAAUGUAGGCAUAAGUAACGACAAUCAAUGUAGAAACAUUGACACCGAAAACCCAAGGUUUCCUGAACAACGUUAAACGGAUCAGGGUAAGCCGGGGACUAAGGGGAGCCCGAAGGGGUAACCUGAUGACGAGGCGGUCAAGAUUCCGCCGCCCGCCUUGC